rnacentral:rRNA from 1 species
CGGCGUGCUAAUACAUGCAGUCGAGCGAACCAAUUGAAAGCCUAGCUUUCAUGAGGUUAGCGGCGGACGGGUGAGUAACACGUGGGUAACCUGCCCUAUAGACUGGGAUAACUCGCGGAAACGCGUGCUAAUACCGGAUAACACAUCAAAGUGCAUGCUUUGAUGUUGAAAGAUGGUUCUGCUAUCACUAUAGGAUGGGCCCGCGGCGCAUUAGCUUGUUGGUGGGGUAACGGCCUACCAAGGCGACGAUGCGUAGCCGACCUGAGAGGGUGAUCGGCCACACUGGGACUGAGACACGGCCCAGACUCCUACGGGAGGCAGCAGUAGGGAAUCUUCCACAAUGGGCGAAAGCCUGAUGGAGCAACGCCGCGUGAGCGAAGAAGGUCUUCGGAUCGUAAAGCUCUGUUGUAAGGGAAGAACAAGUGCAGUAGUAACUGGCUGCACCUGACGGUACCUUACUAGAAAGCCA